rnacentral:tRNA from 1 species
UAGUUCAGUGGUAGAGCAUGUGCUUAGUGUGCACAAGGUCCUAGGUUCAAUCCCCAG